rfam:Triticum urartu cultivar G1812 contig953471, whole genome shotgun sequence.
GAAGCUCAGGAAAAAGAUAUCGUCAGGAUGAUGAUAAGCCAUGAGGCAGGAACGUAACGGAGCUUACGGCACACGGAAGGUUUCAGGAUGAAACAGGAUCGCUCAGGAUUGAGCAAGGGACACCUCCAGGAUGGAGAAUGAGAACCCCCUCAGAAGAGGUGGUGGGCCAGGAUGCUAAGGAUACAUCAGGACGAUGCGCGACAGGAGUUCGCACUGGACAAGUUGUCAUGGAAGAGCAGGGAGCAUUAACGUGGCGGGAUGGCUGCAAACGAACCGGGAGCACUGUUUAUACAGUGCUCCCUUUUUUUGUG